UUCCACACCUCCAUCGAUCCCCGCUAAAGACAAGGGGGUGCUACCCAUACCGACACCAGUUAAGCGCGUUGAAGCGAUCGUAAGGCCUGCUUAUGCAGAUUCGGAUUCAGAAGAAACAGUUGACAGUGACCCACAUGAAAGUCAGUUGGCUGGUGAUGGGAUUGGGGAUGACGGUGGCAUGCGUUAGCUAAAGUUUGGUCUAUGUGUUAUCCAAUAAGAUAGGAAGGCGUGCGAGAGUUUAUGCGUUUUUCCUUUUUCUGUUUUAUGUUUUUUUUUUUCUUGGAAGACAUCUUUUUUCACUUCUUUUUGGCCGGCAAGUUUUGCCAAGGAAACAACUUAUGGUCCAUGGUUUAAUAAAGUUUAAGCACGCCCCUUUGUAGGCGUAUUGUCUUA